UUAGAACCACAAUGGAUUUGAGG
rnacentral:piRNA from 1 species